UACCCCAUUCUCCUCCCCCUCCUCCCUCCCAGGUCCCCCCUCCCCCCCUCCGAGUGGCGUCACGGUGUCGCGGUUCCCGUGCUGCCCUUCCCGUGCUGCCCCUGGGUGGGAGCGGGGGAGGAGCCAGCCAGAGCCGGCCGAGGAGCGUCCGGGUCGCCCAUGGCGACCAGGCCGGAGGCGAAGGAACAAACUGGAAGAUCGCCCGGGUACCCCAAGUAUGCUGCCUUGAGUUCCUUCAGGGAGGAAAGGAGAGUCGUAAAUGCAUACUAUGGCGAGGCCCAACAGGUCUGACAAGCAUCAUGUGUGAAACGAAGGUGGUCCCCAAAGGCUUUCCAGGAACACUAGACACGCACCGAGAGUGGCUCUGGGCCAGGCAGGCAGUGGGCCAAAUGUCCUUGGAGCUACAAUGACUCCAGAAGCAACACUCAAGCAGGACCUGGGAUGCAAUACCAAUAUUUAGAGUUUGUUUGGGCCAGUUUUUAGAGUCAGUUUUGAAGGAGAACUGCAGAGAGUUCAGACAAAAGCCACGAGAAUGACCUCUGUUAUACAAAAAGGAUGCUUAGUGGGUCAUGUAUUGGUGUGUUAUGGAUGGAGAUCUGCAUUGGCUUCCAAGUGGUUUGGACCUAUUAGAAGCUCCCACUAGCCUAAUGCCAUGAAUGUUGAGGCGGACAAUGUGGAAGAAAAAGCUGUCCAUUCCUGGUCAAGGAUCUCCUCUGCAGGACAGAAAGCACUGGAAGAAGCACUCAGAGUGUUCAACCCCAUGUCCAAAGACCUUUCUGAUACAGAGACCCAGCUGGUUGCUUUUCUUCAGGGCCUCAGGGAGGAAGGUUACCAGCCUACAAUCCUAAGGAGUAAAGACGUGUAUGGGUACAGCUCAUGCACAGCCAAUACGCCUGGCCAGACAAAAAGCAGGACUCAGGACACUUCAAAAACAGCUGUCCCUAUUUUGGACUCUGCUAAGGCUCUAACAAGAAGCACAGUAACGAUGACAAAAGUAUCUGCCCCUCUAGAAGGCAUUACAGUAAGUUCUUCUAAAGACCAUGGUAAGCCAUUGCCCAAGAGCAGUAAUUCCACCAACCUCCUCUUGAACUCUUUGAAACGGACCCGUUCAGGCACAUCAAAAGCCUCGGGAGUGGGUUUCCCUGCUAACAUGUACCCUGGUGUCUAUCCAGCCAUGAGGCUGUCUGUGGUGCUGGAAGCCUUGGUCCCGCUGAAAGCCACAGCAUCCUGUCUGGAGUCAAAGUGCAAACAAGGGCAUCUUGGGAUCUCUCCCUCAGACUUGAAGCUCCUCAAGGCAGCCAAUGCCUCCAGGCAACCUUCAGCAGUCAAGGCCACUAAAAUAUCACCAGCUCAGUUGGACACUAAAGGGUAUAGGCAUCUAAUAAAGAAAGUGCCAGACUCUGCUGCCCUGACGGUAACCCUUUUAAAAGGACCCAAUGGUGGGGUGCUGCAGGAAAGCAAUGCUUGCAAAGCUUCUGGAAUCCUGAAUGGCAGGAUUUCUGGAAGUGCUUCCCAGAGCUGCAGUGCAGGGGCCUCCCGAACUAAAGAACCAUCAGUGGGCAAAACAGAACGGAGAGGUGGUGGUGGUAGUCACCAGGAGACUGUGGGGCAGAAAAGGAAAAGUGCAGAAGAGGGAAAAGAAUUGCCACGUGGGAAGAAACCCAAUUCUGUUCAGUCCUCCAGUAAACCAGAACUGGCUUCGAAUGCCUUAAACCUGCUGAAGUUCCGAGCCAUCAAAGUGAACAGCUCUUCAGAUGACGAAUUGAGGAGGAGAGCACAGAAGAUCCUUAGGGUUAAUCUAUCACCUGUUAUCAGAAUCCAGCCAUUGCCCCACUCUCACAGCGUCCCAUGAGUCGCCUAGUUAAUUUGGAGCCACAGGGCCAUGGCAGGAGGAGGAUCUGACCUACUUCAGGUCUCUUGGGCUUGAUGAGGAUGAGGUUGUAUGUCUCGGCAGUCCUUGGGCAGCUGGCCAUCAGGUCAUAGCUAGCAGCUGGGGAAGGUUCAUCGGAGCCGGGCAACUGCUGGAUUAUAAAACUGUGUUGAGAAAUACUGGAGAAGGUCUCCAAGGCCCAAUUGAGAGGAAUGCUGAGCAGAGCACUGGCUUUCCUCUGGGACACUUUUCUACCAUGCUUUUGUAAACAUGGCAGAGCAUAUGUUUGGGAUGUGGCAGCACUUGGGAUAUUGCUGUACUGUGAUUUUUCUUUUCUUUUUCCCAAUCUGUAAAUUACUGGUUUUAUUUCGAUCAUAUUUUAUAUACUUAUUAAAUAUAAAUAUCUAUUGACUCAUAUACAUGCAUUGCCCAAGGGCUAUCAGAAUGUGAUUCCUUCUUCCUCUUGUCCCCCUUCUCUAGAACUGGGUGCAGAAGUUUUCCUUGCCUUGUUUUCAGUCAGUCAUUUGUUGAAAGAUGCCUUUGUUCUGUUCCAGUGUUGCCUCUUUUUUGUUUGCUGUAAACCUGAGGGGCUAACUGUUGUCUUAUCCAUUAGUCACUGGCUGCUGGCUGCCUCAUUGCUGGCUAGGGCUAAAGGGUACGGGUCAGAUGGAGAAGUGUUCCAAGUGUAUGGAGAGGGAGGAUGGGAGAGAGGUGCUUCUCUGGUCCCAUCAGUCCACCCUUGUCUGGAAUGUUUGCUCCCACAGGCUUGAAGAUGGUGUCGGGGGGAGGGUGUUCCCCAAUAUAAGGGUUUGUAGGCCCUUUUGAGAAGGUGGCAAGGGAGGAGAGACCAAGACCCCAGCAAGCCCCACUGAGCACUGCCAGCUUUGUGCCAAAGAGGGUGGAUGGGGAGGCACUCAGUUUGUGGAGAACCUUUCUGAAGACUUGGUGUUUCACCACCUCCUCAGAAGAACUGACCCGUGGAAUCAAGUACCUGUGCUCUCUCAUGUAUUUGCCUCCAAAGGGUAAUUGUAUUACAGGACCCAGUGGAGUUGGCUCUUGGUGUUGCUCCCUUCUGUUAAAUUAGAAAAAGAGCCUGUGACUGCCUGUGAGCCAAUAUGAAUAUGACCACUGGCAAUGAAUACAUUCUGGCGUAGUUGUUAACCCUUUCUGCUGCCAGACAUCCCAGUAAAUACCUUAUCCCUGCUGUGGACCCUAGGGCCAUUGUGCUUCUGAAUAUAGCUGGUAUAAGAGAACACAAACAGUCUGGAUUAUAUCUGCUGGUGCAGCAACUGGAAACUUCUUGGGCUUGAUGCAGAGGUGAUUCUUGUCCUGUGUAAAGGUGGAGCCAAACUAUAUUGUUACAGAACAGGCUUCUGGCCUUCACGACAAUGAAGGUUCAUUAAUGCACAUUUGUCAACACCAUAAGUAUUUCAAGAAUAUAAUUUUGACUUCUGCUUUGUGCCACAUCUGCAAACCUAAACCUGAUUUAAGCCUAUUGUACCAUCAUGGCUUCCCCAGGGAACUUUGGUGAUUAGUAGUUCUAUAAAGGUGCUAUGUGUUGGAGAUCCUGCACUCUUGAAAAUGGCAUUUCCCAGAGUUCCUUGGGAAAAGGCCUCCACAAUUACUGAUUUAAUUUUUUGUGUAGGCAUGUUGUUGUUAAUGCCUCUCUUUUUUCACCAUACCGUAAAGUUUGCUGUGUUCGUUAUUUUAAUGAGUUUAAAAUAAUUCUCUACUGAAAAGCUUUUGAUCUUAACAGUUUAAGGUACCCAUUUUACAAGUUAUGAAAAAUGAAGUGAAUUCUGAGGCAGUAGAAUUCUGGGUUGUACCAUGAGAUAGCAGGUGGGUGGUGUGACAGUAAAGAACUUUUACUUUUCAACUUCACAAAAAGUUCCAUAUAUAUAUAUAAAAUAAAUUAGCACAUCAGAGAAGACUACAUUAAAUCUUUCUUUCACAUGCAAGGAGGCUUUAAUGUAAAGAUGUAUUUUAAAAUGCAGACAUUUUUCCCUACUGUUGAUGUGGUAGUAUCCAGAAUUCUGCCACCUCCUCCUGUAUAACUUGUAAAAAGACUGUAUUUCUCUAAUCUGAAUCAUAAUACUUGGAAGCUGCAAUGCUGAUUUUGGUGGGAGUCUGCUGUGCUGGCUUUGUGUGGUAAGCAUGGGAGUAGUUUUUGGGGGGUGUCAUUUAUUUCAUGGGUCAAAUAGAUUCCACUAAUUAGCCCAUUGCCAGGUUUAUGGAGCCUCCCUUGAACAAUGAUGGACCCUUUGUGCUUUAUUGAGGAUAGUUGGCCAGUUUGCACAAUGCUGUCCUAAAGCAUUUAGAAAAGAAAAACCUGGGUGGGCGGGGGGAGCGAGAACGCUCCCCUUCAUGGCCAGUUGGCAGGUGCUGGUGCUCUAACUUGGCAGAGCUGCCAAUCUCACCACUUUGGCCAUGCAUCCUCUCAAAUGGAGCUAAUGCUAGAACAAUCUUUGCUUGCAUCACAAUGAAUCUUCAGGCACAAUACCUUCCUUGAGGGUCUCUGGAUAUGACUGUCUCUUCUCAGUACAUAUUGUACAACAAGGAGAAAAUGCAGUUGCUUCUGCUGUGUCUCCAGCACUUUUGCCUGUCCAGUCAAAUGCUUUCAGAAAUAAAUCUUCCCAGAUUGUAGACUCCCAUUGUUCUGGGAACUCUUUGUUCUUGAGUAUAUAUUAGUUGCAGGACAAAAAAAAGGCUUCUGAAUGAGCUACACAAGUUGCUGCUAGAGCCCUCUCCGUGAUGAAUCUAUAUUGAGCCAUCUGGUACUACUCUUCUAUUGGACUGUGUACUGGGCAAGUGUCUUUCUGAUGCCAUGUUCCUGUUAAGCAUCUGACACAAUCAAGUAUCGGUACACAGAGAAAUUUGCUCUUUGCUUACAUGCCAGUGUAGCUUUUGAUGCAUCCUUUCUCUAGUCUUGUACAUGUUCUUGCUACAGCCAUAGUCUGGUUUAACUGUCUGGCUUCCACUGCCUCUCUUCCCAGUACUCCUGGGUGUUGUAAUUCUUUGUAAAGAUUGGGUUUGCUCAUGGCAUUCUUGGCCACUUUACAAAACUAUACCCUGGACUGUUUUUAAGGACGAAGCACCGGUUAAAGCUUCUCUGGAGGCCUCCAUACUUGGGAAUCAGCCCCACAGCUUCAUCAAGAUUACCUGGGUGUCCUUAAAUAGCUGGGUGUUUAGAAGAUGAUUGGCACAUUAAAACUUCUCUCACAGUGCUGCUGGGAUGGGAAAAGGCAUUACUGCAACCAUCUCUGAUACACAGCUGUUGAAAAGGCGUCUUUUAAAAGUCAGGCAUUGCCAGUUUUGCUUGCUGCUAAGUUGCUUUACUGCAGCAGUGGACUCCUCAAACGUACUUGGAAGCCCAGUAUUUCUCUAACCAAGAAUGUCAGUGAGGAUCCCAUUCCCAAGUUCUCUGGCUGCAUUUGUGAUUGGAGUGUGUUUCUUUUUUUGUUCCUUUGAACAGGGAUCUGUAUGUUGGCAAUAUGUUGCCCUGUCUAUAUAAAACUUUCUGUCAGGAAGCAGUGUGUUCACAGGAGAAGGGUGGUGAGCUGUGAAGCCCUCUAAAACACUGGAGGAAUAAGGAAGAGGCCGUGUUGGCAAGUGGGAGCCCCUAAAGCAACCAUACGGUUCAAGUUGUGCUGAGUUCUUCCCUUUAAUGAAUCUAGAAGAAGGAUCUGAUCUGGAGAAAGAAGCUAAGAUUUCUUAGGCUGGAACAGGGUUGGCUGUGCUUGGCCUUGGAAAACACUCCUGUACUUUUAAAUAGCUCCAUGUUAGGUUGUAGUUUGUGCAGUUUCCUUGGUUGAUGCUUUGUUCAUAGAGUGAAGUAAGGAAAAGGACAACACACCCCUUGCUUCCUAUUCCCAUCUUAAAGUCAACAUUUGGGUGCAGGACACUUGACACCAAAGGUGGAAGGAGUUGCUCUGUUCCUGAAUCCUGAAUGAAAACUACUUUCCUCGACCAAAUGGCCAUGUUGAAUUUGAAAUGAGUAGUGCCAAUAAAACUACUUUGGCCCAAUCUCCUCAUUGGAAGGAGAAACCCAUACCUUUUGAUCAUUAAAGUGGCCAUUACAGGAUGGGUGGAAUGAGGGAAGGCCAUUUGGACUAAUGAUAGCUGUUUAGAAAAAUAACAUAUCGGGUGGCUACAUCCUUUACUAAUGUUGUGGCUCUGACAUGAAAAAAGCUGCACCUGUCAAUUUCCUACUACCCCACUGUUAAAGGCAUAGAAACACAGACAACAGUAACAGACAACUCCAGCCUUUGGAACAACAACCCUGUAUUAAUAGCUACCCUGCAUCUUGACCCUCCUUUUUCUUUCAGCUGGAGAAGUUCCUGAUUUUUGCUUCUGUGAUUCUUCAGAAAUGUGACUGGCAGAGGUUACCAUUCUUCAGCCUUGCCAAUGUUGUGUACAGAGCAGUUUGUUUCCCCACCCAGAAAGUGCUUCACUGCAGAAAGGUGGAUUUUUAUUUUUUUUUAGUUGCUUGCCUGUUGUCAAGCUUGGGAUCAUCCCUGGUUGAACUAAUGAAUAUCUUCAUCAACAGUAGAAGGAAGAGCUAUUUUUAUGGAAAUUAAGUGGAGCUCAAUAAUAUGCCAAUCUGCCAUUCCUGAUGUAGGUGAUCUACGGAGCUGCUGGAUGCUAGCCAAAUUCUGCAGGGCCGCCACAAGGUAUUGCAUUUGGCUCUGAACUCUUCUGUCUUGCCAAGCACGAACCUGGUCUCCUUCCCUGGAAGCCGGCUUUUACCAUGGAUCCCUUCCAUCCUGAAUUCAUGGCCACCUACCAUUUGUACAAUGUACUGUGUAGACUUUGCCACAACAUUAGUUGUAUAUAUGUGAGUGGUUUUUUUUCCUUACCAUUGGUUAUUUCUGCUAUUCUGCAGCCUCACUUCUAGAGGGUGUUAUUUGACACCACGUGGGAGGAGAAGCGAGGUAUGUGAAACAACUUCUGCUUGAACCAGCAGCAGGCUGCCUCCCUAGAGCAAAUUCUCAGUUCCUUUGUGCAGAAUCUUUCUGAAGCUCUCUGUUUUGAUAUUACAUAUGCAGCCCACAAUUCCCAGUUUCAGUGUUUGUAUGCUUCAGGACAGCCUUGUGUGAUGUGAGGCAAUUUGAGUGUUACGUUUUCACCGAGGAGGAAAGGGGACAAAAGCAACCUAUCUCUAUUUUUCACGAAGUGAAACUUUUAUUUCCUUGGUUUUAAAAUUGUAGCAGAUGAUCUCACUCUGCCAUUAAACAGUAAAAAAAAUGGUGCUUCAAAACUCAA